GUUCCCCAACCCAGUCCUCAUGGGCCACCAACAGUCCAGGUUUUGUCAGUAUCUCCAUUGGAAUAAAACAGGGACAUACAUAAAUCCUGGACUGUUGGUGGUCCAUGAGGACUGGGUUGGGGAA